GCCACAGAAGUUCCUAAUGAAAUUCAAGUGUUGCUGGAUCAGUUCUCUAAAGUCUUUACUACUCCUACCCAGCUUCCACCUCACAGAGCUUGUGAUCACAAGAUUCCUCUGAUAGCAAGCGCGCAACCCGUCAAUAUCAGGCCCUAUCGCUAUUCUCCUCAACUGAAGAUUGAGAUUGAGAAACAAAUUACUGAAAUGUUGCAAUCAGGUGUUAUGCAACCCAACACUAGUCCAUUUGCAUUGGCAAUCAUUAUGGUCAGGAACAUCAGUGAUCAAACAAGGCUUGAUGGACCGGUCGGGUGA
rnacentral:rRNA from 1 species